GGACGGGUGUCCGAGCGGUUGAAGGAACCGGUCUCGAAAACCGGCGUGCCGGAAACGGUACCGUGGGUUCGAAUCCCACCCUGUCCG
rnacentral:tRNA from 1 species